AUAAUGGACUUCCCAUAGCGUCUCUCUCAGUAGUGACCCGUCAGUGAAUUUCGAGAUGAUCACACAGUCCCAACGACCAACCGGAUCACGCAGUUUCUGGUUUCUCGGAAACUUCCGGCGAGAGGGGGAGACGGGAACCCUCCAACUAAACCAGGGCCAUGUUGUCAAAAACCUUAGGGCUCUUGAGCAACUGACAUAAGAAGUGCAACAGCAAGAAGCAAAGAAACAGUUUCAUAUGAAGAGGAGAGAAAAGAUAGAAGAAGAAUAUGCUACUGUAGGCCCCCACAAUCAAUGGCUCAGAUAAUAACCUUUCUUAAUAUUGUCUUGGCUGAAGAGUUGAAGGAAGGUUCUAUCUCAACUUUAUACAUGUAUCCACCCCAUUUAUUAUUAUGCACCCUCUUGGUAGUCUAAGCAUUGUUAAACACCUUCUUCUUGAAUUGGUAAUAUCAAAUUUGCUACUUCAGUUGAGUUAAAAUUUGAAUUGGUAAUCUCAAAUUUGCUA